UUAAAUGAAUUGACGGGGAGCACCACAACGGGUGGAGCUUGCGGUUUAAUUGGAUUCAACGCCGGAAAUCUUACCGGGACCGACAGCAAUAUGAAGGCCAGGCUGAAGACUUUGCCGGAUUAGCUGAGAGGUGGUGCAUGGCCGUCGUCAGUUCGUACUGUGAAGCAUCCUGUUAAGUCAGGCAACGAGCGAGACCCACGCCCACAGUUGCCAGCGUACUCUCUGGAGUGACGGGUACACUGUGGGACCGCCGCUGCUAAAGCGGAGGAAGGAAUGGGCAACGGUAGGUCAGUAUGCCCCGAAUAUCCCGGGCUACACGCGAGCUACAAUGGUUGGUACAAUGGGUAUCUACCCCGAAAGGGGACGGGAAUCUCCUAAAACCAAUCUUAGUUCGGAUUGAGGGCUGCAACUCGCCCUCAUGAAGCUGGAAUCCGUAGUAAUCGCGUUUCAACAGAACGCGGUGAAUACGUCCCUGCUCCUU
rnacentral:rRNA from 1 species